GAUGAACGCUGGCGGCGUGCCUAAUACAUGCCAGUCGAGCGAACAGACGAGGAGCUUGCUCCUCUGACGUUAGCGGCGGACGGGUGAGUAACACGUGGAUAACCUACCUAUAAGACUGGGAUAACUUCGGGAAACCGGAGCUAAUACCGGAUAAUAUAUUGAACCGCAUGGUUCAAUAGUGAAAGACGGUUUUGCUGUCACUUAUAGAUGGAUCCGAGCCGCAUUAGCUAGUUGGUAAGGUAACGGCUUACCAAGGCGACGAUGCGUAGCCGACCUGAGAGGGUGAUCGGCCACACUGGAACUGAGACACGGUCCAGACUCCUACGGGAGGCAGCAGUAGGGAAUCUUCCGCAAUGGGCGAAAGCCUGACGGAGCAACGCCGCGUGAGUGAUGAAGGUCUUCGGAUCGUAAAACUCUGUUAUUAGGGAAGAACAAAUGUGUAAGUAACUAUGCACGUCUUGACGGUACCUAAUCAGAAAGCCACGGCUAACUACGUG
rnacentral:rRNA from 1 species